rnacentral:rRNA from 1 species
UGGGGAAUUUUGGACAAUGGGGGCAACCCUGAUCCAGCAAUGCCGCGUGAGUGAAGAAGGCCUUCGGGUUGUAAAGCUCUUUUGUCAGGGAAGAAACACCGGCUCUAACACAGUCCGGGAAUGACGGUACCUGAAGAAUAAGCACCGGCUAACUACGUGCCAGCAGCCGCGGUAACACGUAGGGGGCGAGCGUUGUCCGGAUUUAUUGGGCGUAAAGAGCUCGUAGGCGGUUCGGUAAGUCGGGUGUGAAACCUCCAGGCUCAACCUGGAGACGCCACCUGAUACUGCUGUGACUAGAGUCCGGUAGGGGAGUGUGGAACUCCUGGUGUAGCGGUGAAAUGCGCAGAUAUCAGGAGGAACACCAAUGGCGAAGGCAGGUCUCUGGGCCAAUACUGACACUGAGGAGCGAAAGCGUGGGGAGCGAACAGG